GCUCCCUGUUCUGCUGUUCGUAAAGCUGUUUCUUGCUCCAUUCCCUUCCGAUCUGCGUACUAGCCUUAAAGGACAAAACGUGUUAAUAAUCGGCACGCUUAUGAGUAAAACGGCGCACGCUUUUGGCCCUAUUUUGGAUCAUUUUCCCAUCUGGGAGGUGUACAUGAAUUUCCGUGUGAUAAGUUUUCAUGACAGAUAUUGUUAAAUUGUAUACAGUAUUCUCUUUUUCACAGUCUGAGCACACUGGUAUGGGAUGUUGUUGUUGUUAAUUACUUUAUUUCCGGCAGCUUUAACCUUUCGGUCAUUCGCUGCCCUGGUAUGGGAUGAUCUCGCAAACUUUGCUCUUGCAUCGUUCAGUUGCAAUUUGAUCGUGAAGGCAGAGGGCGAUUCUGAAAACGAUGUCGGACGAGUCGAUGGAGCUGGGUCCGGCUACUCAGGCCGAAAUCUUUGACGUCGAGCAGUUCUUGGAAGAUUGUGACGAGGAGUUCGCGUUGCACGGCAAUCAUCAACAACGAGAAGAACGCGAACAAAAUGCCGGAGAAGAACGCGAACAAAAUGUCGGAGAAGAAGGCGAAGCACUACAAGGUCAACUGCGGGUUAGUUUUUUU